rnacentral:piRNA from 1 species
UGGAAAUGAGAUCUUGUGCCAUAAAUA